GUCGAGAGGCUUCGGCAAUGGGGGAAACCCUGACCGAGCGACGCCGCGUGGGGGAUGAAGGCCCUUGGGUUGUAAACCCCUUUUGUUCGGGAAGAAAUGCGAUCAGGUGAAUAAUCUGGUCGUUUGACGGUACCGGACGAAUAAGCUCCGGCUAACUCCGUGCCAGCAGCCGCGGUAACACGGGGGGAGCAAGCGUUGUUCGGAAUCACUGGGCGUAAAGGGCGUGUAGGCGGUCAGGUAAGUGAAAUGUGAAAUGCCUCGGCUCACCCGAGGACCGGCAUCUCAUACUGCCUGACUUGAGUACGGGAGAGGAUGUGGGAAUUCCUGGUGUAGCGGUGAAAUGCGUAGAUAUCAGGAGGAACACCGGUGGCGAAGGCGCACAUCUGGCCCGAUACUGACGCUGAGGCGCGAAAGCUAGGGGAGCAAACGGGAUUAGAUACCCGUGUAGUCC
rnacentral:rRNA from 1 species